UACGUAGGGGGCAAGCGUUGUUCGGAAUUACUGGGCGUAAAGGGCGCGUAGGCGGCACGGCAAGUCAGGAGUGAAAGGCCUGGGCUCAACCGAGGAACUGCUUUUGAGACUGCCGAGCUAGAGUGCAGAAGGGGCAACUGGAAUUCCCAGUGUAGCGGUGAAAUUCGUAGAUAUCGGGAGGAACACCGGUGGCGAAGGCGGCGACCUGGGUAGAUACUGACGCUGAGGUGCGAAAGCGUGGGGAGCAAACAGG
rnacentral:rRNA from 1 species